rnacentral:rRNA from 1 species
UGAGGAAUAUUGGUCAAUGGGCGCAAGCCUAAACCAGCCAUCCCGCGUGAAGGAUGAAGGCCCUAUGUGUCGUAAACUUCUUUUAUACACCAAGAAAAAGCAGGACGUGUCCUGCCCCGACGGUAGUGUAUGAAUAAGCAUCGGCUAACUCCGUGCCAGCAGCCGCGGUAAUACGGAGGAUGCGAGCGUUAUCCGGAUUCAUUGGGUUUAAAGGGUGCGUAGGCGGCUUUUUAAGUCAGUGGUGAAAUCUUGCCGCUUAACGGUAAAAUUGCCAUUGAUACUGAUCAGCUUGAGUACAGUUGCAGUAAGCGGAAUGUGUAGUGUAGCGGUGAAAUGCAUAGAUAUUACACAGAACACCGAUUGCGAAGGCAGCUUACUAGACUGUCACUGACGCUGAUGAACGAAAGCGUGGGGAGCGAACA